GACGAACGCUGGCGGCGUGCCUAAUACAUGCAAGUAGAACGCUGAAGGAGGAGCUUGCUUCUCUGGAUGAGUUGCGAACGGGUGAGUAACGCGUAGGUAACCUGCCUGGUAGCGGGGGAUAACUAUUGGAAACGAUAGCUAAUACCGCAUAAGAGUAGAUGUUGCAUGACAUUUGCUUAAAAGGUGCAAUUGCAUCACUACCAGAUGGACCUGCGUUGUAUUAGCUAGUUGGUGGGGUAACGGCUCACCAAGGCGACGAUACAUAGCCGACCUGAGAGGGUGAUCGGCCACACUGGGACUGAGACACGGCCCAGACUCCUACGGGAGGCAGCAGUAGGGAAUCUUCGGCAAUGGACGGAGGUCUGACCGAGCAACGCCGCGUGAGUGAAGAAGGUUUUCGGAUCGUAAAGCUCUGUUGUAAGAGAAGAACGAGUGUGAGAGUGGAAAGUUCACACUGUGACGGUAUCUUACCAGAAAGAGACGGCUAACUACGUG
rnacentral:rRNA from 1 species